rnacentral:rRNA from 1 species
GACGUAGGGCGCGAGCGUUGUCCGGAUUUAUUGGGCGUAAAGAGCUCGUAGGCGGCUUGUCGCGUCGUCCGUGAAAACCCGAGGCUUAACCUCGUGGCUUGCGGUGGAUACGGGCAGACUAGAGGUAGGUAGGGGAGAACGGAAUUCCCGGUGUAGCGGUGAAAUGCGCAGAUAUCGGGAGGAACACCGGUGGCGAAGGCGGUUCUCUGGGCCUUACCUGACGCUGAGGAGCGAAAGCAUGGGGAGCGAACAGG